AACGCACGAGACCUGCGGACCUGCGGAAGGAUCAUUACAGAGUUGCAAAACUCCAAACCAUUGUGAACUUACCUUUGCCGUUGCUUCGGCGGGCGGCCCGGGUCCCGACCCGGCGCCCCCCGGCCCCGUCAGGGGCGCCCGCCGGAGGUAAACCAAACUCUUGAAUUGUAUGGCCUCUCUGAGUCUUCUGUACUGAAUAAGUCAAAACUUUUAACAAUGGAUCUCUAGAUCGGAAGAGCA
rnacentral:misc_RNA from 1 species